AUCGGAACUGUCAUAGUAUCAAGGGUUAACAUUGAUAAAAUGAACCCCUUAAAUGUACUGUUUAUUUUUAGAGAAUAUUCAUAACUUUAUCAUUUACAAUAUUCAGAGUGAUUACCUUAUCCUGUGUUUGGUUUUCAUCCAAGACUUGUCGUCAGUAUGAUCCUGGGUUUGUCAGCACUAUCCCCAUGUACAUGGGUUUCAGUAACAAGGUAAACAUCUCAAGGCCUGAUUCACUUCAGGCAUUCCUCCCACGUCAAGCUGGCAGGCCGGGGUGUAAGUGAUGAGGUGUUUCAAGCAGUGUUAUACCCAGCUGAAUCACUCCGUUGUCAACAGAACUUAAUUACGCGUUGAUGGUGUUGAAGCAGUUCAUGAAUCUACCCAAUUGUUUAGCAACAGAAAGCUGUGCAAGCCAUUGCUUUAUAACAACAUAUUCAUGCUAGCACACUUUGUCAAGUGUAAUUACCCCAAAGAUCUGCCAAAAGGUUUGUUUUUUUAUACUUCAACAUUGUGUUGCUUUGAAGAAAAGUGGACAUGUUCCUUGUGUUAAAGGUGAGCAGAUUGUAAACUGUUUGGUUUUUUUCAGUUUUAAAGGGUUUUUCACUUCCUUUGUUAUUGAUUGGGAUUUUAUUUCUGGUGCUGUUUAAGUCUUUGUUGUAGCCAUUUCCUCAGUGCCUUAGUUUUCAUGUGUAGAAAUAAACUGGGAUUUUUGUCACAAGCAGUUAAUUAUGUCAAUUAACACACACCAAGGUACCCUGGAAUGGCUCAUGUUAAAAAGCCCAGAUGAACUCGGUGGAUUUGAAGAUUGUUUUCUCCACCUUCAACCUUCAGUUUGAUCAUGUGUUUCUGGAAACUGAUGAUUGUUGAAUUUUGACAUCAAGUAUGUCAAUUGAAAUAUUUCUGUGAGGUAUUAAUCUGUUUACUUAAGAUAUUAGGUAGUGCUAUGCUUACAAAUGAAGUUAUUAUGAUGGAUUGAUAUUUGAUUAAAAUACUCGGAUUGCUGUUGAGAUAUUGUAGGAUUUAUGGCAACGCUUGUGAAGAUCAUGAUGAAGGCCCAUUUGCACCUCAUACUUCUACACAGACUUGCAUCCUUCGUGCUACAGACGUGCAUCUGGGUCGGGAUCUACUGUUUGUUGUAAAAGACGAAAUGGCGAUCAGGUAGCCACAGUGAUGGAUAGUACACGGAUGGUCACCAAGGAGAACUUUCCUCUGUGACCUGGCUGUGUCAUGGUACCUGAUGGUGUGGAUCAAUGCUCAUGCUAUCAACCACAGGUUGACCUACUAAUGGCCUCUUAGAAGUCAAUAUUCCAGUUAUGAUGCUGACUUGACAGUAAACCUUGGCAUGGUCUGUCACAAAAGAAAUUUUAUUUGAAUGCUUUUCUCACUGUUCUUGAGUUAUGGUCAUUCCAGAGUGCAAUACAAUUCUUCAAUUCUUGAAAUUGUGGAACAGUAAUAUAUCUGAAUUGUCUAAUUCUAUUAUUAUACUAAGCAUACUAUACCUCAGCAUUUCUUUCACUUAUAACCCAUACAGAGUUGUAUUAACAGGGUUCAUGAUUAUUUAGACACAUUGUAAUUUUGACCAAUGAAAUGUAUUUAUUUAAACUUGUAUUACAAAGUUGUGUGUCAUACUGCCUGUUUGUGAAUGCAUUAUAUAAAUCAUUUUUAAUCUAUACUGAUGUGUAUUCUGUUUAUGAAGAUCUACUCUACUCUUUGUUAAGCUUUAUAGAGCAGUGAACCAUCCCACUGCAAUGUUCAUUGUUGGCUUCACGUUAACCUGGAAGUUUGUUCGUCCCUCUUGUCCUCAAACAAUCAUUUUGAACUAUGUUUUUGUAACCCAGCACAAUAAAUCAUUAUCAAGAUUGUGGUCUGAGAGAAAAUAGUUAAAAUUUUGAACUUUGAUUUGUAUUUGUUUUAGAUUUGAAAAAAAGCUAAAAUUCUUUACAGCUGAGAUGAAAAGGCUUCUUCUUGGAAAUAAGGUGCGGUCGGGUAGCCUAGUGGUUAAAGCGUUCGCUCAUCAUGCCAAAGACCCGGGUUUGAUUCCCGAUAUGUGAAGCCCAUUUCUGGUGUCCCUCACAGUGAUAUUGCUGGAAUUUUGCUAAAAGCGGCGUAAAACCACUCACUCACUCACUCUUGGAAAUAAACCGCAGUUCCUUGUAGCUUGUCAGUUAUUCUCAUAAUAUUAAGUACGGUUGAAUUUGUGAAAUGCACUAAGCCUUCAGUUGUGUAAGCAGUUCAUUAGUUUGAUUCUUGUCAUCUGUAUAGACAGUGUGACAUUAGAGAUGAAUAUCUUUCUUAUGUGAGUUUUGAAGUAUUGGAUUACUACCAGGGCCUCUGUCAUGGACAAACUCGUUGUUAUGAGAGUUGUUGUAAAAGGCCGUUCAAUACACUGAAACGAAAGUUAUGUUUUGUUGCGCCCAAAGUCAUAACCCUAGGCUACUGAAUAGUUCAUAUGAAAGUGUUCUAUUUGUUUUCUUUGAGAUAUGGUUUGACCUGAUUGUUGGAGGACAACUAAAGUGUUCGUGUCUGUACACAGCAGUUUGUGUAUGUGUGUGUCUAGGUAGUGUCACUCUACAUGCAAAUUAUUUAUUUAAACUACUGACAUAUGCAUCUAUGUAAACUUUCAACAGAAAUAAAUACAUCAUGUCUACACUCA